GACGAACGCUGGCGGCGUGCUUAACACAUGCAAGUCGAACGGAAAGGCCCUGCUUUUGUGGGGUGCUCGAGUGGCGAACGGGUGAGUAACACGUGAGUAACCUGCCCUUGACUUUGGGAUAACUUCAGGAAACUGGGGCUAAUACCGGAUAGGAGCUCCUGCUGCAUGGUGGGGGUUGGAAAGUUUCGGCGGUUGGGGAUGGACUCGCGGCUUAUCAGCUUGUUGGUGGGGUAGUGGCUUACCAAGGCUUUGACGGGUAGCCGGCCUGCGAGGGUGACCGGCCACAUUGGGACUGAGAUACGGCCCAGACUCCUACGGGAGGCAGCAGUGGGGAAUAUUGCACAAUGGGCGGAAGCCUGAUGCAGCGACGCCGCGUGCGGGAUGACGGCCUUCGGGUUGUAAACCGCUUUCGCCUGUGACGAAGCGUGAGUGACGGUAAUGGGUAAAGAAGCACCGGCUAACUACGUG
rnacentral:rRNA from 1 species